rnacentral:misc_RNA from 1 species
GAUGAAGAACGCAGCGAAAUGCGAUAAGUAGUGUGAAUUGCAGAAUUCAGUGAAUCAUCGAAUCCUUGAACGCACAUUGCGCCCCUUGGUAUUCCAUGGGGCAUGCCUGUUCGAGCGUCAUUUGUACCUUCAAGCUUUGCUUGGUGUUGGGUGUUUGUCUCGCCUUUGCGUGUAGACUCGCCUUAAAAUAAUUGGCAGCCGGCGUAUUGAUUUCGGAGCGCAGUACAUCUCGCGCUUUGCACUCAUAACGACAGCGUCCAAAAGUACAUUUUACACUCUUGACCUCGGAUCAGGUAGGGAUACCCGCUGAACUUAAGCAUAUCAAUAAGCGGAGGA